GUGUGUGUGUGUGUGUGUGUGUGUGUGUUUGGUGCUCUUGUCUUCAUAACCAUUCAGUUUUCCAGUUGGUGCUGGAGUUCUCAGGUGCGCUGGAUGACAGGUGUCUCCUAUCUGCUGAUUGCUUGGAGGAGUACUUUAGCGGGAGGCUGCCAGCACUUCGAUGCCAGAGUGUUUGCUUUAGUGGCUUUUACCUGAGGCUUUCUUUACCUUGAAGAGUUCCGACUUCGUUCCAGAGUUUCUCUGAGCAUCUGGAUUCUCAACUACUGAAUUAAGGAUCUAUCUUAUUGUGGAUUUUUUCCUCUCUACCGUCUGUACCGCUCGGACACGGACCAAGCUGGCGGCUUCCCGUUUUCUCCAACUCCUGGACCCAGGCAUCAGCAUACCCUGUUCCUUCCUCCAUCUCAAACAUCGGCACCUGAGCACCCUUUGGCUGACAUCAAGAUCACAACGAAGAAGACAACUGAACGAUCUUCCCUCGCAAGUUAAGACUCUGAAUCUCUAUCUCUCUCCCUGGUGGUUCAAGCUACAACAAUUUAGUAAGCCAUUUCUCAGAUACUCUACAUCUGGUCUGGUGCUGUGACAACUUCCUGGAGGGGUGCAUCAGUUGAGCUACUGCUGCCAACAACUUCAUGUUCUCCUUCAAUGGAUGAUACAGUUGGCCCUGUCUUUCAGUGUUUAACCCUGUCUCUCUCAUAGAUGUAGCUAUUGGCUGAGCUUUUACUGUGUCUAACUGCAUGUGCUCUCUUUGAUCCUGUAUAUUUCAAAACCGGCUCAGGUGUGUUUCUUUCCUAGAUGAAACCACUAAACGAACUACUGCCAUUAACUUUUCACUUAUAGAAAGUAUAAAAAGCACUCAUGGAUCAGUGUAUAUGUGUUGUUUUUGGUGCAUGCUCUGUCUUGUCAAACUCCCAGUCGGUCAUAGCAGAUGGCAGCUCACACUGAACCUAGUUCUGCUGCAGGAUUUUUCCUUUUAACCUCUUAAGCCCGAGGGUAUAUUUUCCAAAAAAUGUGUAUGGCAUUUCUCAACUUGUCCAAAGCCUACACUGCUAUUCUUGGUAUCAACUAACAGGUCCUGGAGGAUGAUGUGUAAAUUUGAGUACAUUAUUCUGGGCCUGAGUAAAUGAGGUUUAAAUGUAAAAAUGCAAAAAUAAAUUCUGCCUAACAAAACACAGAUGUUUCCAUACAAAACCUCUUACUCUUGCUGUAAAGAAGGAAAUAAACACAAUAAAUUGUAACUGCAACAUCUGAGUGACAUCUGUAGCCAGUCUGGUCUCAACAUGACAAGGAAUUGAAAUGUUAUACAUGUUUAGACAUUUUUGCAUGGUGUUUGAGCUGUGGUCAGUGGACAUAAGAAUGAAGUAGAUACUUUUGUAGAGGAGUCUCAGAUGAAGAUCUGGACAUAUGGCAAGUGUGUGUCAGUCUUACAGUUAAUCAGCUAUGAGUGUGUUGUUUCUAAAGAGGUCAAGUCCCCUUUGUAAGGGGACCCUCUGGCUUAAGAGGUUAGAGUUUUUAUUCCGUUGUCUACAUGUGCAUGUUCAGUAUGAGCAUCCUAGUAGUCCACUGUCCAUACAGGUUCGUCCAGGAGGAGUAAAUGUUGGAAGUCACUGACUCGAUGCAAUCUGCUGGGUUUCUUUAGAUGGGAAAACUUUUUAACCAAUUUGAAUAAUAUCUAAAGUUGACUGCAUUGUUAACUAGGAUCAGUUGGAAUAUAUGUACUUGACUUGUAUGAUUGGAUGGAUUGAAAUGACGUUUUCUGUAAAAGUGCUGUGAACAACUGAACUAAAAUAAAUACAACUAGUUUGUGGCUUACACUCUUA